rnacentral:rRNA from 1 species
UACGGAGGAUGCAGGCGUUAUCCGGAUUUAUUGGGUUUAAAGGGUGCGUAGGCGGAGGAGUAAGUCAGGGGUGAGAUGCCGCAGCUCAACUGCGGAACUGCCUUUGAUACUGCUUUUCUGGAGUCCGGAUGCCGUGGGAGGAAUGGGCAGUGUAGCGGUGAAAUGCAUAGAUAUUGCCCAGAACACCGAUUGCGAAGGCAUCUCAUGAAUCCGGCACUGACGCUGAGGCACGAAAGCGUGGGGAUCAAAC